GAGACCCGUGCCCACUGUUACCAGCAUGUCCUCCGGGACGAUGGGUACUCUGUGGGGACCGCCGGUGUUAAAUCGGAGGAAGGUGCGGGCCACGGUAGGUCAGUAUGCCCCGAAUCUCCCGGGCUACACGCGGGCUACAAUGGAUGGGACAAUGGGUCCCUACCCCGAAAGGGGAUGGUAAUCUCAUAAACCCAUUCUUAGUUCGGAUCGAGGGCUGUAACUCGCCCUCGUGAAGCUGGAAUCCGUAGUAAUCGCGUUUCAAUAUAGCGCGGUGAAUAC
rnacentral:rRNA from 1 species